UACGUAGGGAGCAAGCGUUGUCCGGAAUCAUUGGGCGUAAAGCGCGCGUAGGUGGCCCCGUAAGUCCGCUGUGAAAGUCAAAGGCUCAACCUUUGAAAGCCGGUGGAUACUGUGGGACUAGAGUACGGAAGAGGCGAGUGGAAUUCCUGGUGUAGCGGUGGAAUGCGCAGAUAUCAGGAGGAACACCAGUGGCGAAGGCGACUACCUGGCCUGUUCUUGACGCUGAGGCGCGAAAGCUAGGGGAGCAAACGGG
rnacentral:rRNA from 1 species